rnacentral:rRNA from 1 species
UACGAAGGGGGGCUAGCGUUGCUCGGAAUUACUGGGCGUAAAGGGCGCGUAGGCGGCGACCCAAGUCAGAUGUGAAAGUCCUGGGCUUAACCUGGGGGACUGCAUUUGAUACUGGGUUGCUUGAAUUCGGGAGAGGAUAGCGGAAUUCCCAGUGUAGAGGUGAAAUUCGUAGAUAUUGGGAAGAACACCGGUGGCGAAGGCGGCUAUCUGGACCGACAUUGACGCUGAGGCGCGAAAGCUAGGGGGAGCAAACGGGG